rnacentral:misc_RNA from 1 species
UUUCCGUAGGUGAACCUGCGGAAGGAUCAUUAUACUAAAAACGAGGCGCCAGGCCCGUCGCUGACCCGAACAACCGUGCACGCCCGUUUGCCCUUACAUACCUCCAUCUCACCCCUAUCUCCCCCACCCUGCCCCGCCCCCUAUGGCGUGUUCGGUGGGGGGCUCACGCUUUUACACAAACCUUGAACGCUGUGAAUAUUGUAUUUUUUGUUUUUUCGAUCACGUAAGCCACCCAACUUUCAACAACGGAACUCAUGUCUCUGCCACCGAUGAAGUACC